rnacentral:tRNA from 1 species
UGGGGGAUCUGCUAAUGGUAGGCAAAAUGGUUCUGGACCAUUGAAUCGGGGUUCGAAUCCCUGUCCCCCAG